rnacentral:rRNA from 1 species
UACGGAGGGGACUAGCGUUGUUCGGAAUUACUGGGCGUAAAGCGCACGUAGGCGGAUUUGUAAGUCAGGGGUGAAAUCCCGAGGCUCAACCUUGGAACUGCCUUUGAUACUGGAGACCUUGAGUCCGGGAGAGGUGAGUGGAAUUGCGAGUGUAGAGGUGAAAUUCGUAGAUAUUCGCAAGAACACCAGUGGCGAAGGCGGCUCACUGGCCCGGAACUGACGCUGAGACGCGAAAGCGUGGGGAGCAAACAGG